rnacentral:rRNA from 1 species
GGAACGUGCCGAGUAGUGGGGGAUAACUAUCCGAAAGGAUAGCUAAUACCGCAUACGCUUUGAGAAGGAAAGCAGGGGAUCUUAGGACCUUGCGCUAUUCGAGCGGCCGACGUCUGAUUAGCUAGUUGGUGAGGUAAAGGCUCACCAAGGCAUCGAUCAGUAGCGGGUCUGAGAGGAUGAUCCGCCACACUGGGACUGAGACACGGCCCAGACUCCUACGGGAGGCAGCAGUGGGGAAUUUUGGACAAUGGGCGCAAGCCUGAUCCAGCCAUGCCGCGUGUCUGAAGAAGGCCUUCGGGUUGUAAAGGACUUUUGUCAGGGAGGAAAUCCCUAGCGCUAAUAUCGCUGGGGGAUGACAGUACCUGAAGAAUAAGCACCGGCUAACUACGUGCCAGCAGCCGCGGUAAUACGUAGGGUGCAAGCGUUAAUCGGAAUUACUGGGCGUAAAGCGUGCGCAGGCGGUUGUGUAAGUCUGAUGUGAAAGCCCCGGGCUUAACCUGGGAACUGCAUUGGAGACUGCACAGCUAGAGUGCGUCAGAGGGGGGUAGAAUUCCGCGUGUAGCAGUGAAAUGCGUAGAGAUGCGGAGGAAUACCGAUGGCGAAGGCAGCCCCCUGGGAUGACACUGAC